rnacentral:rRNA from 1 species
AUUGAACGCUGGCGGCAUGCCUUACACAUGCAAGUCGAACGGCAGCACGGACUUCGGUCUGGUGGCGAGUGGCGAACGGGUGAGUAAUAUAUCGGAACAUACCUUGUAGUGGGGGAUAACUAUCCGAAAGGAUAGCUAAUACCGCAUACGCUCUAAGAAGGAAAGUGGGGGAUCGCAAGACCUCAUGCUAUAAGAGUGGCCGAUAUCUGAUUAGCUAGUUGGUGAGGUAAAGGCUCACCAAGGCGACGAUCAGUAGCUGGUCUGAGAGGACGACCAGCCACACUGGAACUGAGACACGGUCCAGACUCCUACGGGAGGCAGCAGUGGGGGAUUUUGGACAGUGGGGGCAACCCUGAUCCAGCAAUGCCGCGUGAGUGAAGAAGGCCUUCGGGUUGUAAAGCUCUUUUGUCAGGGAAGAAACGGUUGUGGCUAAUAUCCAUGGCUAAUGACGGUACCUGAAGAAUAAGCACCGGCUAACUACGUGCCAGCCGCCGCCGUAA